rnacentral:lncRNA from 1 species
AUGGUGCCCUAUACCCUACGCACUACACUACUUCUGACCCUAUUCCCUAUGGACCCUGGUCAAAAGCAGUGUACUAAAAAGGGAAUAGGGUGGCCAUUUGGGACGCAUGCGAGGCUGUGUUGGAAUUAUUCAGUUCACAAACAGCAAACCUACAGUAAGAGUUGUUUCUACAAGUUGACCAUUUCACACCAGCCUGAUCCACAGACUACUGUUGUUCCACAGACUACUGUGGUUCCACAGACUACUGUUGUUCCACAGACUACUGUGGUUCCACAGACUACUGUGGUUCCACAGACUACUGUGGUUCCACAGACUACUGUGGUUCCACAGACUGCUGUUGUUCCACAGACUAUUGUGGUUCCACAGACUGUGGUUCCACAGACUACUGUUGUUCCACAGACUACUGUUGUUCCACAGACUGCUGUUGUUCCACAGACUACUGUUGUUCCACAGACUACUGUUGUUCCACAGACUGCUGUUGUUCCACAGACUACUGUGGUUCCACAGACUACUGUGGUUCCACAGACUGCUGUUGUUCCACAGACUACUGUGGUUCCACAGACUACUGUGGUUCCACAGACUGCUGUUGUUCCACAGACUACUGUGGUUCCACAGACUACUGUGGUUCCACAGACUAUUGUGGUUCCACAGACUACUGUGGUUCCACACAGACUACUGUGGUUCCACAGACUACUGUUGUUCCACAGACUACUGUGGUUCCACAGACUACUGUUGUUCCACAUACUACUGUUGUUCCACAGACUACUGUGGGUCCACAGACUACUGUGGUUCCACAGACUGCUGUUGUUCCACAGACUACUGUUGUUCCACAGACUACUGUGGUUCCACAGACUGCUGUUGUUCCACAGACUACUGUGGUUCCACAGACUACUGUUGUUCCACAGACUACUGUUGUUCCACAGACUACUGUGGUUCCACAGACUACUGUUGUUCCACAGACUACUGUGGUUCCACAGACUACUGUUGUUCCACAGACUACUGUUGUUCCACAGACUACUGUGGUUCCACAGACUACUGUUGUUCCACAGACUACUGUUGUUCCACAGACUACUGUUGUUCCACAGACUACUGUGGUUCCACAGACUGCUGUUGUUCCACAGACUACUGUUGUUCCACAGACUACUGUUGUUCCACAGACUACUGUGGUUCCACAGACUACUGUUGUUCCACAGACUACUGUUGUUCCACAGACUACUGUUGUUCCACAGACUACUGUGGUUCCACAGACUACUGUUGUUCCACAGACUGCUGUUGUUCCACAGACUACUGUGGUUCCACAGACUACUGUGGUUCCACAGAGUACUGUUGUUCCACAGACUACUGUGGUUCCACAGACUACCACUGUAUUCUGUCUGUCUGUAUUUGCAGGAUCUACCGUAUGGGCUCCUAAAGCAUGUCCAUUAUGACAUUGGAAAUACGUUAGAAAAUAUAAGUAUCAGGUACAGUUGA